UACGUAGGGUGCGAGCGUUAAUCGGAAUUACUGGGCGUAAAGGGUGCGCAGGCGGUUAUAUAAGACAGAUGUGAAAUCCCCGGGCUUAACCUGGGAAUGGCAUUGGUGACUGCACGGCUAGAGUGUGUCAGAGGGGGGUAGAAUUCCACGUGUAGCAGUGAAAUGCGUAGAGAUGUGGAGGAAUACCGAUGGCGAAGGCAGCCCCCUGGGAUAACACUGACGCUCAUGCACGAAAGCGUGGGGAGCAAACAGG
rnacentral:rRNA from 1 species